AUGAAAGAAGUUCUAGAGCAGAAAGGAGCCAAAGUAGGAUUUAUCGACUAUAACGUAGGAGAUGAAACUGCUGUUGUCAGGCUACACGGAGAAGGAACAGCCAAGAAGGUCCUGGAAGCAUUCGAAGGAAAUGUUGUCGAAGUAAAAGGCGUCAAGUUAGAAGCGUCUGUAAUCGAAGGAGAAGAAGAGGAGCAGUUAAUUGCGAAGAGUCUUGCAGAUCUUUCCAAGAGACGUGCUAUGAUGGCAAACAGGAAACGUAACAAAGGUGGGAAAGGGCGAAAGAGCCAAAGCAAGCGCGGCGGUCCGAGGGGUGGCAAGAGGCGGCGCGGCAACCGUGAUGAUGACGACGACGAUGAUGAUGACAACGAUGAUGACGAAAAUGACGCCAGUGAAGGAGGCAAUGAUAAAAAUCCAAAACGUAAAAACGAAGAUACUGAAACCGCAGCUGAAACCCCAGCUAAGAAGGAACGAACGGAAUAAAUUAAGACUCAUCUCUUGCACAGUUCACUAUGGGAAAAUUUUCUCAUGUUUAUAUGUUGACCUCUCAUUUAAUUUAAUCUCUUGAUUUUCUCGGAAGGAAAGAAUGUAUUUGUUCUGUUGAGUCUUACAUGACUUAAAAAUCCGGUUUUUACGAUUACUAUGUCACCCGUUUUUUCUUUUUUUUAAAUUUAUCAAACAUCUCAUUAUGUUACUUUUUAGUUAUUGCUGUUAUGGUUUGAUCCCGAUCACAAAUCCAUGUUUACUCUUCAUUUACGCUCCCAGACUUUUCCUCUAGAAUUAUAAUUCGCGUUCACAAAGUAAUGACUUUCUCUCAGAUUUUUUUUUACUUACUAUCUCUCUAGAUUAGCUUAACUCAGCCUGUUCUUGAGUUGUAAAACACUUUCAUUAUCAAUCAUCAAUAAACUUUUUCCAUUUUCAGUUUUUGGCUCUUGCUUUUUCUGCGUUCGAAAGGUUCCUCUUUCUUUCGUCUACCGAAGCUUUUCAGGGGCGAAUAUGCAAUUUGCAACCGCACAACUCUUCUGA
rnacentral:lncRNA from 1 species